rnacentral:rRNA from 1 species
UACGUAGGGGGCGAGCGUUGUCCGGAAUUACUGGGCGUAAAGGGCGCGUAGGCGGUUCGCUAAGUCCGUUGUGAAAGACCGAGGCUCAACCUCGGAGCGUCAACGGAGACUGGGGAACUGGAGUAUCGGAGAGGAGCGGGGAAUCCCUGGUGUAGCGGUGGAAUGCGUAGAGAUCAGGGGGAACACCGAUGGCGAAGGCACCGCUCUGGCCGAGUCACUGACGCUGAGGCGCGAAAGCUGGGGGAGCGAACGGG